GGCGCUAUAGCCAAGUGGUUACGGCGACAGAUUAGAAUGAAGGGGUCAUCAUAAAGUCACCUUAUCUGUUCCUCUUUGAGGGCGCAGGUUCAAAUCCUGCUGGCGUCG